rnacentral:rRNA from 1 species
AUUGAACGCUGGCGGCAUGCCUUACACAUGCAAGUCGAACGGUAACAGGUCUUCGGAUGCUGACGAGUGGCGAACGGGUGAGUAAUACAUCGGAACGUGCCUAGUAGUGGGGGAUAACUACUCGAAAGAGUGGCUAAUACCGCAUGAGAUCUACGGAUGAAAGCAGGGGAUCGCAAGACCUUGUGCUACUAGAGCGGCCGAUGGCAGAUUAGGUAGUUGGUGGGAUAAAAGCUUACCAAGCCGACGAUCUGUAGCUGGUCUGAGAGGACGACCAGCCACACUGGGACUGGGACACGGCCCAGACUCCUACGGGAGGCAGCAGUGGGGAAUUUUGGACAAUGGGGGCAACCCUGAUGCAGCAAUGCCGCGGGCAGGAAGAAGGCCUUCGGGUUGUAAACUGCUUUUGUACGGAACGAAACGGCUCUGGUUAAUACCUGGGGCUAAUGACGGUACCGUAAGAAUAAGCACCGGCUAACUACGUGCCAGCCGCCGCAGUAAAAC